UUCACAGUGGCUCCUCAUGUAGUUUGGAGCUUAGAAUGGUGAGCCAUCGUUUUUUUUUAGCGAUUAAAAAUCCAGAGGAAAGACGGUUAAUCCUAGAGAUAGGAGACAAAAUCCUGAAGAAAGAGUAAAGACGAGAGGAGAACAAAAAGUGCCAGACAUGGCAAAGGAACAGGAAAAUCUAACCGAUGGUGACAGAAGUCAGAAUAAAGGUGAGCGUGAAGACUGACUGUAAGGAAGCACAAGAGUUUUCCAGAUGCUACAAGUGUGAUAUCAUCACUCUGACAGCUAAUGGAAUAUGUGCCUGUAUAUUCUUAGGUCUUAAAGAAUAUAUUCUAGGGACUUCCCUGGUGGCACAGUGGUUAAGAAUUGCUUGCCAAUGCAGGGGACAUGGGUUUGAUACUUGGGUCGGGGAGAUUCCCACAUGCUGCAGAGCAACUAAAGCCCAUGAGCCACAACUACUGAAGCCUGCGCACCUACAGCCCGUGCCCUGCAACAAGAGAAGCCACCGCAGUGAGAAGCCAGCGCUCCGCAACGAAGAGUAGCCUCUGCUUUCCGCAACCAGAGAAAGCUCAUGUGCAAGAAAGACACA